rnacentral:rRNA from 1 species
AUUGAACGCUGGCGGCAUGCUUUACACAUGCAAGUCGAACGGCAGCGCGGGCUUCGGCUUGGCGGCGAGUGGCGAACGGGUGAGUAAUGCAUCGGAACGUGCCCAGUAGUGGGGGAUAGCCCGGCGAAAGCCGGAUUAAUACCGCAUACGACCUGAGGGUGAACGCGGGGGACCGGAAGGCCUUGCGCUAUUGGAGCGGCGGAUGUCGGAUUAGCUAGUUGGUGGGGUAAAGGCUUACCAAGGCGACGAUCCGUAGCUGGUCUGAGAGGACGAGCAGCCACACUGGAACUGAGACACGGCCCAGACUCCUACGGGAGGCAGCAGUGGGGAAUUUUGGACAAUGGGGGCAACCCUGAUCCAGCCAUGCCGCGUGCGGGAAGAAGGCCUUCGGGUUGUAAACCGCUUUUGUUCGGGAAGAAAUGCUCUGGGCUAAUACCCCGGGGGGAUGACGGUACCGGAAGAAUAAGCACCGGCUAACUACGUG